CGGACAACACAUACAACAAAACACACCCACCUGCAGCUUUGGACGCCAUUGCUGUUACAAAACUUUCGCGCGCAUGUCGACUGUACCAAAGCGUCGCUGAAGGGGUUUUCCGGAAGCCGGACGAAACCACUAUCGGAGAAUUUGGUUCUGACCGCCACUACCUUGAGCCAGGACAGAUUUGGCAAGCCUCUUCUCUUUCAUGAUCUAAAACACUCUGCGAUCAAUCGCCCCUUCUGGCUACUCCAGCUGAAGAUCUGUAUAAUGUCCUCUGCAAACAGUGGGACAGAUGAAUGCAGGUCCCAGGGGUUGUGCUCCCUCCUUCUUUAAUUUGUUUGCAUAAUCCCCGAGCACAGACUUGGAAGGGGCAGACGAAAGACGGCAUUGAAAACAAACAAGAAGAAAGCGCGAGAAAACACCCUGCAGAGCAACAGACGGAUGUGUCUUAGGACGCCAAAGACAAGAGCAAAUAUGGCGCUACCGGAAUAGAAGUACCAAAUCCUCGGGUCUCUCUCAUGGACGUGGAUGUGGCAGUCACAUUUUUGGCCACUCAAACAAAUCACUCGAAGGACGUCACAGACUGCGUCUGUGCCAACAAACGCGGGCCAUACAAUCUCCCAGAGCGAGGCGGUGUGACUGACUCACAAGCGCUCAUCUAAUCACCGUUCUUUUGUUCGCUAAUGAAAACACAAAGACACAUCAAGUCUACUCUGUCUUUGUAUCCCAGCCUGUCUUCGCAGUCUGUUGCAGAGUAUUUUUAGCCGCGUGGGUAAACCCUCGGAGGAGCAGACAGACCAACGGACAGAUGUCCUCGGUCCUCGCCCCGCUCUCCUCUUUUACCUCUGACUGACUCGAGGCCGGAUAUACAGAACUCCUCCACACUUCACAAUCUGUACUCCUGUGAACACGUGCUCACAUUCAUGCUCACACACUCAUGAAUGCACCGCAGAUAUUUCGGUGUGAACACACAUCAACAACAACAACAGAAGGCGCUAUGUUCAUUCAUAGUUUCUGCGGGGUUUUUUUUGUUUGUUUUUUUUUGUAUGUUUGCUGUUCUCAGCUGCAGAAUCUUUUCUCGGGUUUCUCUGGGACUCUGCAGCUGGUAAUGGUGUAUUCUGAUGUUUAUUUCAUAAUCAUGCUGUACUUCUGUCCUGCAUUGUGAAACACUGCUAGCUGGUUCAGCACCUGCCCUCAAAGUGUGAGCUAACUGAACAUGACUGCUUAGUUCAGAGAUCUCUCAGUCGUUAUUUCAGUCUCAUGGGUUCACUGGUGUCGAGCAAACGACUUCAAUGAGAUAUUGAGUUCAAU